rnacentral:misc_RNA from 1 species
AGAAAAUUCAAAGGCCAUCUCUUGAGCUGAUCUUCUUCUACAGGAGGUGGCGGUGGCUUCCAAAGUACAAAAUACGGAAGAAGACCAUAAGCACCCAAAAAGAAUGACAGUCCUAGGAAAGGCCAGACAGGAACAUUGCUAUUUGAACUUCUACCAGAAGGGAGCAGCAGCAUGGCGUAAACAAGGGGCCACAAGCCCAUAAGAUACCAAAGAGAGACAAGAACUUCAUUCAUUUUGAAACCAUCGUCACUUUUCAAGUUCAAAAGCUUCUUCAAGAAAUACAAGUCCGUUGACGGAGUCUGAUUUGGAGCGAGAUUGAAAACAUAAAACAGAAGACCAGCCCACAAAACAAACAGUAAAAUCGAAGUCGUCCAGUCUCUUCCCUCCCCACCAUUUCCAUUUCCACUGCUGCCGCGCUCACUUUCUGUCGGGCUCGCCUU